rnacentral:rRNA from 1 species
CUACGGGUUGCUGCAGUGAGGAAUAUUGCACAAUGGGGGGAACCCUGAUGCAGCAACGCCGCGUGGAGGAUGACGCAUUUCGGUGUGUAAACUCCUUUUAUAUGUCAAGAAAAUGACGGUAGCAUAUGAAUAAGCACCGGCUAACUCCGUGCCAGCAGCCGCGGGUAAUACGGAGGGUGCAAGCGUUACUCGGAAUCACUGGGCGUAAAGGACGCGUAGGCGGGUUGGAAAGUCAGGUGUGAAAUCCUACAGCUUAACUGUAGAACUGCACUUGAAACUUCUAAUCUAGAGUAUGGGAGGGGGAGAUGGAAUUAGCGGUGUAGGGGUAAAAUCCGUAGAUAUCACUAGGAAUACCUAAAGCGAAGGCGAUCUCCUGGAACAUUACUGACGCUAAGGCGUGAAAGCGUGGGGAGCAAACAGGAUUAGAUACCCCUGUAGUC